GUCUUCUUUUGCUAUUAUUGUCCUUAACUAAUUUAUAACUAUGAGGAGAUCAUUGUUUGUUUAUUCAUGUUGUUAAAUGCAUGACUCUUUUUGUUGUAUGAAGAUCCAAGAUUGUAUAUGCACCAAGUGUAUAUACAGUUGAAUAGAUGCAUUUGAGUCCUCACAAUUAUUAUUUUUUUACGUUGUAAACAACCUCAAAAUCAAUCGUCAUAAAAUUUCUUAGAAUUUGGCUUACAAGUGAGGCCUUUUUUCAAAAUAAGUUUCCUG
rnacentral:lncRNA from 1 species